GACGAACGCUGGCGGCGUGCUUAACACAUGCAAGUCGAACGGAAAGGCCCUGCUUGCAGGGUACUCGAGUGGCGAACGGGUGAGUAACACGUGGGUGAUCUGCCCUGCACUUCGGGAUAAGCCUGGGAAACUGGGCCUAAUACCGGAUAGGAGCCAUUUUUAGUGUGAUGGUUGGAAAGUUUUUUCGGUGUGGGAUGAGCUCGCGGCCUAUCAGCUUGUUGGUGGGGUAAUGGCCUACCAAGGCGGCGACGGGUGGCCGGCCUGAGGGGGUGGACGGCCACAUUGGGUCUGAGGUACGGCCCAGACUCCUACGGGGGGGAGCAGUGGGGAAUAUUGCACAAUGGGCGCAAGCCUGAUGCAGCGACGCCGCGUGGGGGAUGACGGCCUUCGGGUUGUAAACUCCUUUCGCUAGGGACGAAGCUUUUUGUGACGGUACCUAGAUAAGAAGCACCGGCUAACUACGUG
rnacentral:rRNA from 1 species